GACGAACGCUGGCGGCGUGCCUAAUACAUGCAAGUCGAACGCAGGGGGGACGGGGGAGGAACACGUGGGUAACCUCCCAUCAGAGGGGAUAACACUUGGAAACAGGUGCUAAACCGAUACUGAUGGAUGGACCCGCGGUGCAUUAGCUAGUUGGUGAGGUAACGGCCCACCAAGGCCACGAUGCAUAGCCGACCUGAGAGGGUGAUCGGCCACACUGGAACUGAGACACGGCCCAGACUCCUACGGGAGGCAGCAGUAGGGAAUAUUCGGCAAUGGGCGAAAGCCUGACGGAGCAACGCCGCGUGUGUGAAGAAGGCCUUCGGAUCGUAAAACUCUGUCGUCAGAGAGGCGGUAUCUAACCAGAAAGCACCGGCUAACUCCGUGCCAGCCGCCGCGGUAAUAC
rnacentral:rRNA from 1 species